UACAGAGGUCUCAAGCGUUUGUUCGGAUUCAUUGGGCGUAAAGGGUGCGUAGGUGGCGGGGUUAGUCAGGUGUGAAAUCUCGGAGCUCAACUCCGAAACUGCACUUGAUACUGCCUUGCUAGAGUACUGGAGAGGAGAUUGGAAUUUACGGUGUAGCAGUGAAAUGCGUAGAUAUCGUAAGGAAGACCAGUGGCGAAGGCGAGUCUCUGGGAUGAUGCUGACGCUGAGGCGCGAAAGCCAGGGGAGCAAACGGG
rnacentral:rRNA from 1 species